AAGAAUUUCUUUCCCCAUCAUAAAUUUGCGUCCCAGCAUAUAUUUUUUUAUCAAGCUUCCAACUAAGGAAAACUUUGCUUCCAUCCAAUACAAAAGUGCUUCCAUGGUAAAAUUAAUUUGCUUCUAACCGAAUAUAAGUUUGGUUCCUGCUUCGUUCGUUCAUACAAUAAUUUUCAAACAUGAUACAAAUUUAUUUCGUUCAAGUCACCAACAGUGCGCACUAUGCCUCCUUAAGUCAACACCGUAUGUUCCCUACAGACCAUAGACAUGCUUCCCUUCGCUUGUGGUCAUCCUCAUUGUAGGGCGGAUCCAAGUGUUAUCACACACUUCAUAGUGCAUGCAUCAGUCGCCUCCAUAUAUGUCUAUGUCUGUACCUAUCAGUUCCAAAGAUGCAACACAACUGCUUGAAAUAUACAUCCAUUAGACAGGGUGCAUAAGUAUAGAAGGUAUGAAGCAACAACAUGUGUUACAUAUAUGGUACGGGUAGUAAAGCAGUAGAAAUCUGACAUAUUCCCAUGUAAGAAGCCUGUACUCUUCAUACAUGUUGUGUCACACUGUCGUUGAUUUUUGGAUUUUAUUGGCAUUAUUCAACAAGGAGAAACAGAAAAAUUCAGCUUGGCCCCGUCAGCAUAUAUAUAUGAAAUAUAGGAAGCAUGAUGAGUUGAUGACAUUAUUUGAAUACAAAGAAUUCUCUUGACAAUGCAAUAGCAAGUACAAUAAAUAGUAGAAGUGUAUUUCUAUUGCCCCAAACUCUAGACUGAAGAAAACAUACAAUAAAGUUAUGAAUCCUGGAUAUUAAGAAGCAUCAAUUUGUUGCUAUCUCAACGUAAUUCAUACCUAGUGGAAUCAUAUAACUUUGUAAGUAGAAACUAGCAAUGAAUAUUGCCAACAUGUGUGUGCAUCGAUCAAUUUGUGAUCUACAAACCAAUUUCACCGUCGAUGCAAACAAACUUGAAUGUCGAAGCACAUAUCUGAUGCUUACAAACUUGAAUGUCGAAACAAUACCUUGAGGAUAUGAAAAUAGACUUUCAUUCAUGGUGAUCUGAAUCAUCAGCGGUGUUACUCCUAGACCCGAUCCCAGAACGAGCGACAGAGGAUUAAAUGUUCAACCUAGACGCCAUUCCCUAACAAUUGAGAAAAGGUAGAUAAAUAGAUGCCCUCGUUCUUCCCUAAAUCAUAAUCCAAAGCAUGGAGGUAAAACAACACAGAGAGCUAUGAGGAACGGAUUGAAGCUUGCUUGCGUACAGAUUCUUUAGAUGGACAAUUGACGAACACUUGAAGACGAGCGGCGAGGCGCUGCUGGCGGCGCCCAGACGGAGCUUAGAUGCGUCGCAGAGACUUCGAUUCCUCGCGAUGUGGCAACUGCCAGGAGAGGCGACAGGAUUACAGGCGAUUAGGAUGUUUUGUCAUCCAUCGAGCAGGCCUUUCGAUGGGCUGUAACAGGCCCAUACGUAUGGCUCAUGUAUCUCAUGCGUGUCCCAGCCGUUUUCUGAUUUUUUUGCUCUUUAUUUUAAUUCAAAAAAUGGGAUACUUUGGGAUACGCGUAUCCAGGCGUAUCUGUGCGUAUCCCCGUCCCGGUGCAGUAUUCUGCACCGAUACGGCACCUCCUCGCCAUAUCC
rnacentral:lncRNA from 1 species